rnacentral:lncRNA from 1 species
GAACACUUGUGGAUGCCUGGCCGUAUUUCCCAGGCUUAAAGUUAUAUGGGAGACGGCCUGAACCGCCUGAUCUUGAGUUCCUCCGCCUGCACGAACCGCCAAUCAUCCUGUGAUCUGAUCCUGUCCAGCAGCCACCAAAAACACCACACAAACGCCCCGUGCUGUGCGUGAUGGAAGAAACAAGUGGGCGGAAUGGCUCCGCCGGUCCGAGAAGGGGAGAGACUUGACUCUAACCCUCUCUCUCUCAUCUUUCGACAGCAGCAGGAGAUUUCGGCUCGACUGGCGCUCCGUGGCUCGUCGCCAAGGUGGUGGGUAAAUGCCCGGGAAACCGGUUGCGAGAAAACUGGUGGGAAGAAGAAGAAGACGAAGAAGGGAGUUAGUUUAUAUAACUGCUCGUUUCUCUCGUGCAGUUUUGUCCAAUUAGAAAGUACAUCGUACAACAUCGCAAUAACUUUUGAGUGCUCCGUCGAGUUGGCCAAGUUUUUGACAGCUCAUCGUGGUGCCACAGCCAUCAGAAAAAAACAAAGUCCGUUAGAUUUUCUAUCCUCCUACCCUUUUUAAAAACAAAGCAGCCGAAAUUGAUGGCAGCAACGUCGUUCAACCGGUCGACGAACUCGAUAUCCCAGCACAGUCGUCGUCGACGGCCGUCGCCCAGGUUGACAGAGAUACAUCGGUUUUGAACCAACUGUACGGCAGGAUUCCUUCCGGUUGCUCCAAUUAACUAUUUACCCGACCUCACCUGUCCAUUCGAAAUAAUUGCAGAGCCACGUUAAACGGUAUACACAUAUGCUGUGUGAUGGGCGAACUCUACUAGCAUGCUAAUUUUUUCUGCGUCGAAAAUCCCCCAGCAGUUCCGUUCAGUUAGGGAUUUGAUUGAUAGGAUAAGACAAUUAUGUGUACAGUACAGCGCCCGUCGUUACCGCGCCCAACUUGGCUGCGUCUCCCCCUCUUUGCUCUGCAUGUUUUGUCUUGUUACCAAGUUGAGCAUCUAAUUGGUGGUAUCAUUGAACUUGGGUUUGUACUUCCCGCCAUGCCUGGUGUCUCUGAUCCUCCCGGUUGUACCUCUCGCUGUGUUGGUCGUGUUGCUUCGACCCACUUUUUCGUUUUCCCCAACACUCGACGAGUCCACAUGUGCUUUGAAGCCGAUUGACGUCUCCUGCUGUUGUUACUUCUAUCUCUCUUUCCCUUCUCUCGGAGCUCGACAGAGUGUUUCACACCCACCACGCCCACUUUGUCAAAUGUUCCAUGCCAUAUAUAUAUUGUUCGCCUUUCUGCCUCUCUCUCUCUCCCUUUAACUAUUUAGUUCCCCAAACCAAUUUUUCUCUCAUCUUCUUUCUAUUCUCUUUUUUUCCUUUUUUGUGUUGUGCAGAUGAAAAAUCGAGUCAGGCUGGCAGCAGACAGAGGAGGGAGGUGUCUCUGUGUCUUUCACUUUUUCUCUCUCUCUCUCCCUAUUCUUUCGCUUAAUACAAUUCAAAUUUUUAAAACUUUCCCGGGAAUUGUCACGACAUGUGGUAGGCUGGCAGCGGUGGUAGACAGGACAUAAACGCAAAGGUUUCAUCUCGUGUGUCGGAAUAUUUAUCGCUUAUUCUGUAAUUUUCUUAAGGGAGGGAUAAGACGAAUUUCUAUAGAGAUUUGUCAACGCUAUAUUCUCCUUUCUCGCAGACGUUUUCCCCCCGUUGUUGCCACCUUUCUAGGGGAUGUCUAUAGGCUCCCCCCCCUGCUGGAUGCAUCAAUCUCUUGACUCGCCCGCUGGACGUUGAAUAAUAUAAGAAUCGAGCCAAUGACGCGAUCACAAAAAUUAAAGAGAUAUGCGCAGCCUAAAUCUCUUCCACAAAGGGCCAACGUCUCAUUUCCAUAAGCUUCAUUUAUAUCUCAGCUUUGGCAAGACUUUUGACUUGAGAGAAAGCUUUAUAUUAUGUAGCACUCACACACAGCACCAAACCGCCAGUAUGCUGAGUAUGAGAGCCCAGCGAAGACUCGAGUUGAAUUGCAGAGCGCAGCAGGAGGUCUAUUUGAUUUUCCAACG